rnacentral:rRNA from 1 species
CCUACGGGUGGCAGCAGUGGGGAAUAUUGCGCAAUGGGCGAAAGCCUGACGCAGCGACGCCGCGUGAGUGAAGAAGGAUUUCGGUAUGUAAAGCUCUAUUGGCAGGGAAGAAAGAAAUGACGGUACUUGACUAAGAAGCACCGGCUAACUACGGGCCAGCAGCCGCGGUAAUACGGAGGGGGCAGGCGUUAUCCGGAUUUAAUGGGUGUAAAGGGAGCGUAGGCGGCGAUGCAAGUCUGGAGUGAAAGGGGGGGGCCCAAACCCCGGACUGCUUUGGAAACUGUAUGGCUGGAGUGCAGGAGAGGUAAGUGGAAUGCCUGGUGUAGCGGUGAAAUGCGUAGAUAUUAGGAGGAACACCAGUGGCGAAGGCGGCUUACUGGACUGUAACUGACGUUGAGGCUCGAAAGCGUGGGGAGCAAACAGGAUUAGAUACCCGGGUAGUC